GGCUCAUCUCCAUCACCGAAUGCAACUACGCCAGCAAAAGGGACCACCCCCAUCACUGGGGGUCAAGGUGGUGGUGGAGGUGGGUCUGAGGGGCUUUCAGACGGCGCCAUUGCAGGCAUCACAAUUGGUUCUAUUGCCGGCGUGGCUGCUAUCGGUGGCGGUAUCUUUGGAGUACUCAAGUACACUGGGAGAGUGUGAGGAGCAAGACGGCUUCUAUGAGGAAUCAGCAUAAUACAUUUUUAAAAUAAAUUAUUUCAGUUUUGGUGGGAUAUGUUCGAGACAUUUCUGUGCACUUGGAUUUAACUUGAAAGGGCUAAUUAUACAUGAACAUGUUUUUGCUAAAUAAAUAUUCCUGAAAAU